AGAUUUAACGCUGGGGAGGACGGCAGUUUGCCACCGGGGAGGUGUUCCAUGGAUCAGAAUCAGAGCCGCCGUCUGAUCCGUGGAUCAGGAAAUUCGCUUUACCGUCUCGCCGCACGAGUCGAGUUGAAUCCAGAGUCCAGCCGUCUUCUCUUGCAAAGCGACUGACGAUUUGAAGGCGACGACUGGGAGAUAAAGGUCAGGAGCGGCAGCGGCGAUCCAACAUGGAGUUCUUGAUGCAGCCGAUCGGCAGAUCUGCUGUGCUUGAGGAGAUAGAAGAGAGCCUGGUGCCUGUCCCUCUGGUUGCCGAUGGCGAAGUGGUGGCGGAGCAUGCUGUGCGGCAGCAUCACAGGGCGGCGGACAGCGGCAAAGCACAGAUCAGGGGCGGAGGCCGCAGCGGGCAGAAGGGAUAGCUCCCCUCCGACGCCCGAGGGGAAGACGAAUCCCCAGGCGCCCGGAUGGAAUAAGAGGACUAGGGUUGGAUUAGCUGGCAGGACGAGGAUGAAGUUGGUUCCGGCCAAGAGCAGCGUCAUGCGCUGGCUGUCGGCGGAGCAGCGUGGAGGCGCGACACGGGGGAGGCUCGGCUGCUGCACCUGUGGCUGCAUGCGCACAUGUGCUGGCUGAAUCUCCGCCUGGCUGCCAUGGUCGAAGUUGUGGUCUCGCCUGUAUCUCUGCUGAAGGGGAGCCAACGGGUGCAUAGCAAAGGGGGGUUGCAGCACGUACGGCUGCGUCAGCCCUGCACGAGUCAGCUCCGGCAGAAGCAAGCUCCGGCACGCGAGGCGAAGGUGACCACCUUGUCGAGGUAGCCAGGGCAAGGGAUGGGUGGCAGCACUUCCUGAGGCUGCGAGGAAGAAAAGUGAAUCUUCCAGAGCAAGGGUGUGUGCGGUCGAUGCAGUGCAUGUAUAUAUUAAAAAAUGUUUGCUGGAAUCCACCGUUCGGUGUGUAACGGCUGAGCCGUGGACCACGUCGCUAGUGUCCAUCUGAGCCGGCUAGUGCUGGAUGAUGGACGUCCCAAUAAAUGCGGUCGGUGAGUGGGCCCUAGUCUGUGGAAAAGCAACUCAUACUACUCAGAAUACGCAGUAAAAUACAUCUCCUGAUGC